rnacentral:rRNA from 1 species
UACGUAGGGGGCUAGCGUUGUCCGGAAUCAUUGGGCGUAAAGAGCGUGUAGGCGGUCCGGUAAGUCCGUUGUGAAAGUCAGGGGCUCAACCCUUGAAUGCCGGCGGAUACUGUCGGGCUCGAGUACGGAAGAGGCGAGUGGAAUUCCUGGUGUAGCGGUGAAAUGCGCAGAUAUCAGGAGGAACACCAAUUGCGAAGGCAGCUCGCUGGGACGUUACUGACGCUGAGACGCGAAAGCGUGGGGAGCAAACAGG